rnacentral:rRNA from 1 species
UACGUAGGCAGCGAGCGUUGUCCGGAUUUACUGGGCGUAAAGGGUGCGUAGGCGGUGGGGUAAGUUUGAGGUGAAAGCUCCGGGCUCAACCCGGAAAAUGCCUUGAAAACUAUCCGGCUAGAGGGUUGGAGGGGAGACUGGAAUUCUCGGUGUAGCAGUGAAAUGCGUAGAUCUCGAGAGGAACACCAGUGGCGAAGGCGGGUCUCUGGACAACACCUGACGCUGAGGCACGAAAGCCAGGGGAGCAAACGGG